rnacentral:rRNA from 1 species
GACGAACGCUGGCGGCGUGCUUAAUACAUGCAAGUCGAACGGAAAGGCCCUGCUUUUGUGGGGGGCUCGAGUGGCGAACGGGUGAGUAACACGUGAGUAACCUGCCCUUGACUUUGGGAUAACUUCAGGAAACUGGGGCUAAUACCGGAUAUGAGCUCCUGCUGCAUGGUGGGGGUUGGAAAGUUUCGGCGGUUGGGGGUGGACUCGCGGCUUAUCAGCUUGUUGGUGGGGUAGUGGCUUACCAAGGCUUUGACGGGUAGCCGGCCUGGGAGGGUGACCGGCCACAUUGGGACCAGGAUACGGCGCGGACUCCUACGGGAGGCAGCAGUGGGGAAUAUUGCACCAUGGGCGGACGCCUGAUGCUGAAACGCCGCGUGCGGGAGGACGGCCUUCGGGUUGUAAACCGAUUUCGCCUGUGACGAAGCGUGCGUGACGGUAAUGGGUAAAGAAGCACCGGCUAACUACGUG